rnacentral:rRNA from 1 species
UACAGAGGAUGCAAGCGUUAUCCGGAAUUACUGGGCGUAAAGCGCACGCAGGCGGUUCGCCAAGUUUGGAGUGACAGUUGUCGGCUCAACCGACAAAGGACUUCAAAAACUGGUGAACUUGAGGACGAGAGAGGAACAUGGAACUCCAGGUGUAGUAGUGAAAUGCGUAGAUAUCUGGAAGAACACCAAUGGCGAAGGCAAUGUUCUGGCUCGUUUCUGACGCUCAGGUGCGAAAGCCAGGGGAGCGAACGGG